UGUGAACUGCAGGACACAUGAACAUCGACACUUUGAACGCACAUUGCGGUCCGUGGAUUAACGUCCCGGACCACGUCUGGCUGAGGGUCGUGCAAUAAAUAUAACCAGACUGCUCUCGCGCUUGGUUGUUUUUAACAAAACAAACCCACGUUUUCGAAAGCGAAAGACWGAACGUUCGUCGGCUAAUAAUUUUAUAUUAUUUCGCCAGCGUCGUUUUAAAUAAUUAUUAUAUUCCAACGUUACGGACGUUUUUAAGCUCGUUUACAUGCAUAACGUUGCGUUCGAGAACUCAUUUUAGAGUGAACCGGCGAGUAUAUGCAAAAUGAGAGCUGGUCUUUUAGCGUUGAUAAUAAAAUAAUAAAUAAUUUUUACGACGACCUCAGAGCAGGCGAGACUACCCCCUAAAUUUAAGCAU
rnacentral:rRNA from 1 species